rnacentral:tRNA from 1 species
GGGCAUGUGGUGUAGGUAUCACGUCUGCUUUGCAUGCAGAAGGCCCCGAGUUCAAACCUCGCCACGUCCA